GACGAACGCUGGCGGCGGGCUUAACACAUGCAAGUCGAACGGAAAGGCCCUGCUUUUGUGGGGUGCUCGAGUGGCGAACGGGUGAGUAACACGUGAGUAACCUGCCCUUGACUUUGGGAUAACUUCAGGAAACUGGGGCUAAUACCGGAUAGGAGCUCCUGCUGCAUGGUGGGGGUGGGAAAGUUUCGGCGGUUGGGGAUGGACUCGCGGCUUAUCCGCUUGUUGGUGGGGUAGUGGCUUACCAAGGCUUUGACGGGUAGCCGGCCUGAGAGGGUGACCGGCCACAUUGGGACUGAGAUACGGACCAGACUCCUACGGGAGGCAGCAGUGGGGAAUAUUGCACAAUGGGCGGAAGCCUGAUGCAGCAACGCCGCGUGCGGGAUGACGGCCUUCGGGUUGUAAACCGCUUUCGCCUGUGACGAAGCGUGAGUGACGGUAAUGGGUAAAGAAGCACCGGCUAACUACGUG
rnacentral:rRNA from 1 species